rnacentral:rRNA from 1 species
AUUGAACGCUGGCGGCAUGCCUUACACAUGCAAGUCGAACGGCAGCACGGGAGCAAUCCUGGUGGCGAGUGGCGAACGGGUGAGUAAUGCAUCGGAACGUGCCCAGUAGUGGGGGAUAGCCCGGCGAAAGCCGGAUUAAUACCGCAUACGACCUAUGGGUGAAAGCGGGGGAUCGCAAGACCUCGCGCUAUUGGAGCGGCCGAUGUCAGAUUAGGUAGUUGGUGGGGUAAAAGCCCACCAAGCCGACGAUCUGUAGCUGGUCUGAGAGGACGACCAGCCACACUGGGACUGAGACACGGCCCAGACUCCUACGGGAGGCAGCAGUGGGGAAUUUUGGACAAUGGGGGCAAGCCUGAUCCAGCCAUGCCGCGUGCGGGAAGAAGGCCUUCGGGUUGUAAACCGCUUUUGUCAGGGAAGAAACGCUCUAAAUUAAUACUUUGGAGUAAUGACGGUACCUGAAGAAUAAGCACCGGCUAACUACGUGCCAGCAGCCGCGGUAAUACGUAGGGUGCAAGCGUUAAUCGGAAUUACUGGGCGUAAAGCGUGCGCAGGCGGUUAUGCAAGACAGAUGUUAAA